UGCACAGGUAGGUACCGCUGAUGUACUGGAGCCUUGAUCUUAAUUUUUCUUCAUUGAUGUCCUUGGAGAAGAUGGCCAUUGGAGUGUAGGGGAGGAACAACCUUGUCUUGCUCGAGGAGGAGGACCACCCGAUCUCGACGACGGCACGGGACAGGUAGCACUCGCCUCCCUCCCAAGGUGAAGGUCCGAUCCGCCUGUUUAGAUGGUCUGCUCUUGUCUUAUGCAUGUGAGGGGAGAAGAAAGCCAUUGGACUGAAUUAUAUUUGCAUGUGAGGGGAGAGGUCCUUUUGGUAGAUGCAGAGUAUAGAUUCACAAAAUUCACCACAUGAGCGUACUACCUAUAUCCAAAUUCUGGAUACCACUUGCAUCUUUUGUAUGUACACAUGAAAAAGCAUGACGAUUUGCUUCAGUUUGUAUGUGUCCAAUUGUUUUUUUACUUCGACUGAAACUAUCUAUCUUGGUGGCACUUGCAUCUCCUGUACAUACAUACAUAUGAAUCAGCACCACACUUCUCUUCA